rnacentral:lncRNA from 1 species
AAUAUAAAUAUUGCUUGAGUUAAUUAAUUAAUCAAGUUAUAUAUAUAUAUAUAUAUAUAUAUAGUCCGGCUGGAAUACUAUUGAUAGCACGAGGCAUUUGGUACUAUCAAGUUUUCUGCCGUUAGAUUUAUCUCUUUUAUUAUUUUUAACCGUUCGAUUAUACUAUUCAACUAACCACCCACUCAACCCUAGGGGGCCCACAUCAUUCUAACCACACAUCUUUUAAUCCAAUGGUAGAAAACUUAAUACCACCAAGUCAUUGGUGCUAUUAAUAGUAUUCCAGCCUAGUUUUAUAUAUAUAUAUAUAUAUAUAGCACCAAGUUAUUGGUGCUAUUAGUUUUUUAGCCCUUGGAUUAAAAAAUAUGCGGUUAGGAUGAUAUGGACCCCCUAGGGUUGAGUGGGUAGUUGGUUGAAUAGUAUAAUCUAACGGGUUAAAAUAAUCAAAAGGGUUAAUCUAACGGCAGAAAACUUGAUAGUAUCAAGUGUUUGGUACUAUU